AAACAUCACAAUACCAAAACAUCCCACAACCAUAUCUCUUCCAAACACCCCAACAACCUUUCCAACCAUUCCUAGACCCAUCAUUCACACCCAUGUCUCCCUUCAACCGUCCUGGUUGCCCAUCUAUGAGUCAACCACACCCCAACUUCUCUGGCAUGGGUCAUGAGCUCAGCUACACCGGUACACCGUCAUUGAAUACUGAAGACUAUGCUGAGUUGGCUGAAUACCUCAACGGAUCUUCUCCUGUAGGAGGUAAUGACGCUCCUGGACCAUCAG
rnacentral:lncRNA from 1 species